GCUUUCCUGUGGCUCAGUCGCUAGAGCAUUGAGCACUACACAAAGGUUGUGGGUUCAAAUCCAAGGGAAAACA